rnacentral:rRNA from 1 species
UACGGAGGGGGCAAGCGUUAUCCGGAAUCACUGGGUGUAAAGGGAGCGUAGGCGGCUAGCUAAGUCAGAGGUGAAAGUUUGUAGCUUAACGAUAGAACUGCCUUUGAUACUGGUAAGCUUGAAAGUAGGUGAGGUAGGCGGAAUGUGACGUGUAGCGGUGAAAUGCAUAGAUAUGUCAUGGAACACCGAUGGCGAAGGAAGCCUGCUAGGCUGACAGUGACGCUGAGGCUCGAAAGCGUGGGUAGCAAACAGG